ensembl:lncRNA
CGCACGUAAAUCGGCGGGAAAUAGCGAGUGAGUUGUGUGUGGAAAGUCUGCUGUAUUUUAGAAAUACUCGUCAGGAAAAGCAACUGAGUGACUGCUGCCACUCAUGGACACGUUUGUGAGAGGAAAAUUGUCUGAAUGGCAGCUUGAAAAUCUUAUAGACACCUUUAAAGCUGCUAAAGAGGAGACAGCUUUGAAGGUCCUGCCAACUCUGCUUCCCCCAUCCAUCUAUAGGAGAGGAGGAAAGGUCUUCAGACCCACCACAGAGGAGGCCCAGAAGUCAUUUAUUGACAUGCAGCCUGUUGGGACCAACAUGGUUGAAUAUUUAAACCAUGAGAUGACUGGAGCAUUGCUGCACAUUCUAUGCCUCAGUGAUGAGACAAGGGGGACAUCACAGACCUUUGCCAUUAUUCCAGGCCACGCCAUUGAGACUGUGUCUUUGUUGGAGGCGGUUGAUCUUUGCUUUAAAGCUUUUUUUGUUUUUGAUGUUCAGUACACCAAGCAGUGUCUCCCCACCUGGGAGUUUCUCCAGCAUGCUGUAUAUCAAAUUGAAGGAAAAGAGUCCUCCUCUGUAAAGUUUUUGAGGACAACAGUGGUUUCAGGCCCACAUGAUAUGUAGAUGAUUUUAAAAUGUAUUUUGUUGCUGUUCUUAAAUCAACACAUCUUAAUAAAUUAAAUUGUAAUCGUAUGAGAGUUCAAAUUAGUUGUUUAAUGACUUUUAAAGCCUGAAUAUUUGGACAGAUUUACAUUUGUUAUAAAGUCUGUGGGGAAGGGUGAAUGUCAG